AUCUUUCAAUCAGGUACUCGAGUACCGGACUCUCCGAUUCUUUUGGUUCCUCCCCAAAUUAGUUGUUGGUUGGUCGUUGGCCACUUCUUCCUCUGGCGCCUCUGCUUUUGUCGCAGCUUGCUCGUCGCUCACAUCCUCCACAGUCAGUGAGUCUCUUCCAGCUAGCACUUCACUCCGGUAAGUGUCUCUAACAUUUCCAUCCCCCAUAGGAUUAUCCUUGAACUCAAGGUUAAUGGAUGGGAACAAUCUUGAUAGGGUAUCCUUAUCCUCCCAUGAGUUGUUCUCCGCCUCCAAGUCGUGCCACUUGAUCAGUAGUUGCUCCAGUGGCUUCCCUCGAACGAGCACCGUCCUCUCUUCAAAUACCUCCUCCGGAAAUAUCAUUGGUUCAUUGUUCACCGUCAACUCAGGUAAGAAGUUAAAUUUCUUUGGAGGUAAAUCGCCUUUAUAUAGCUUUAGCACUGAAAUAUGAAAAAUAGGAUGAAUAACACUAUUAGUUGUUAUUUUAAUUUUGAAGGAAACCACACUGAUUUUCUUCUCAAUUUGGAAUGGUCCAAAAUAUCGGAGAAAUAAUUUGUGAUGGAAUUUGUAUGCCAUAGACAUCUGUUGAUAGGGUUUUAGUUUAACAAAUACUCAAUCCCCUCCUUGAAAUUCAAUAUGAAUUCUAUGCUGAUCGGCUUGUUUCUUCAUUUUUUUUGAAGCAAUUAAAAUUUCAUUUCCUCUUUAGCCUUUUCUAGGUUGAUCUUGAUCAACUCAAGAAUUUCAGUUCUUCUGUCCAUCUCUUCUUCCACAAAUAAGCCAAUUAUUGUCUCUCUUGGGAAUGUGUUGGCUUCUCUCCCAUAUAGUGCCAUGAAUGGAGUCAUGCCAAUAGAUAUGUUAAAAGUCGAAUUAUGUCAUAAUUCAACCCAUGGCAAACUUCUAACCAUUUCCAUGGUUUUUCAUAAGCAAUUGACUUCUGGAACAUUUCAAUACCCAUGUUAGUAACUUCUGUUUGCAGUUGAGAGCUUCAGUGUUGUCCCACUCAACCUGUGAAUUUCCCUCUAGAAGCUACUACUGAAUACCUUGUCCCUAUCUGAGAUAUAUAAUGGUUGAGGGUAUUCCAUGCAAUUUAAUUAUAUUAUCCACAAAAAAUUUAGAGACCAUCUUUGAAGUAUACCCAGCUGGUAGAGCCCCAAGGUGACAGAAUUUUAUUAAUCUGUCUACUACUACCACAAUAACAGACUUACCCUUAAUACAUGGUAAAUGUGUGAUAAAGUCUGUUGAUAUAUCUUGCCAAACCUUGUCAGGGGUUGGUAGUGGCAUGAAGAGUCCUUGUAGUUUGGAAUUUUAUCAUCUGACAUACCAUACCCACCUGCACAUAUUUUUUAAUUCUUUUACUCAUGCCCUUCCACUAUAAUAACUGCUUCAUUCUUUUGUUUAUUCUCUUCACCCCAAAGUGACCUCCUGAUAAGGGUGGAUCCCUAUCAGUGCUCAGACGACGCUUCAAACAAGCGUUGGGUCAGGAGCUUCGCCGGAAACAGCUCGGACACCUCAGUCGCUCAGGCUCACUCUGGCAGGGGUUCUCUCUCACUCAAAUCAACCUAGCCAAUGAAUGGGAUCGACCUCUAUUUAUAAGGUCCUGAUGGGGUAAUCUGGUCAUUAGGGCUCUAACCGCCUAACUGCCCAGAUCUGGCCCCAGGUCGACUUUAUGAAGUCGACUUCCUCAUAAAGUCGACUAGGGUCUCCCAUUGCCUAUACAGGUAUUCACUAUCCAUUCCGGGCUAUCUCAAUCUCUGAUUGCUUGUGUCGUGAUCAAAUCUCGGAUACUUUAUCACCAGCUCCUAUUGGGCUAUCAUGAUAUUCCCUCAUUAUUCUUGGGAUUAGUAUGGAUUCUUGGCUUAUGACAUAUCUUUUGUUAUAUAAAAUAGUUCCCUCUACUACCAUAAAAUUCAUGUUUCUUUCCAAACCUUGUAUGUUUAAUGCUAUUUUUGAGUUCUAACAACUCUUCUUUAGAUCUAUGUUCAUUCAGUACUUCUUCCACCAGAGUACCAUCCUAGAUAAACUGAGUAUAGAUCCUUCCAAUGCCACAUGAUCUUCUUUUUCUUCAAACUCUUUGGACAGGGCAUCAACAACCUUAUUCUCCUUCCCUGGCUUGUACGUAGAGUUUUGAAUAUUUAUACCCCAACAGUUUGCAGAGGAACUUCUGAUGUUUUGGAGUCGGUAUAAUCUGAGACACCAUGUGUUUUGAUAUUGUGAUGAUCAAUGUGAAUUACAAAGUGGUGGCCUAAGAGAUAAUGCCUCUAUUUGCCAAUGGCUUGAGUUAUUGCAUACAUCUCUUUAGCAUAAGUUGAGGCCAAUAGCAUUUUUUCUGAUAGUUUAACACUUUGAUAAGCAAUAGAGUGUCCAUUCUGAAUAAGUACAAUCUCAAUUCUCCCCUGACUGGUCGGCAUUUCUCUCCACUGCAAAGUCCUGAGUGAAAUCUGGAUGACUAAGCACAUGUAUUUGUGUCAAGGUUUCCUUUAAUGCUUUCAUACUAUUUGUUGUUGCCUCUACCAUAAAAAAGUGUUCUUCCUUAGUAGAUCAGUUAGAGGGGCAGCCGAAUGUGCAUAAUUUUUCACAAACUUCCUAUAAUAGCCUGAUAUUCCUAGGAAUCCUCUUAAUCCCUUGAUAGAUAUAUAUUGGGGUGGGCCAAGCUUGAAUUGCUUAAUUCUACCUUCUCAGGAUCAGGUUGGACUCACCUUCCAGAGAUAAUAUGCAUGUCCCAAGAAUUACAGCUCACUUUUUCCAAAUGAGCAUUUAGAUUUUUUUUGUAAAUAGUGAGUUAGCUCUCAAUACUACCAACACCUCUUCCAAGUAUUUAAUAUGGAUGUCCAUGGUAGGGCUGAAUACCAGUAUGUCAUCAAAGAAUAUCAGUACACAAUUCUUCAGCAAAGGUCUGAAAAUUCUGUUCAUGGUUGCUUAAUUGGAAGGUGGUUGGUGCAUUUGUUAACCUAAAUGACAUCACAAGGAACUCAUAGUGUCCUUGGUGGGUUUUGAAGAUUAUUUCUUCAAUAUCCUUUAGGUUUAUUAAGAUUUGAUGGUAUCCUGAUCUUAGAUCAUGUUUAGAAGAAAAAAAUUGCUCUCUUGAGUUCAUCCAGCAGCUCAUCCACAGUAGGGAUGAGAGACUUAUCCUUGAUAGUAAUGGAGUUUAAUGCUCUAUAAUCAACACAAAACCUUCAAGAUCCAUCUUUAUUUUUCACCAAUAAGAUAGGGAAGGAGUAGGGGUUGCAACUCUCCAUAAUUAUGCAUUGCUAAAGCAUAUCUUGGACAAUCCUCUCAAUUUUAUCUUUAUGAAAUUGUGUUUGCCUGCAGGGUCUCACACUGACUUGCUGGUGCUGAGGGUUGUAGAUAUAUCUUAUAACUCUGACUUCUGGUGGGUGACAGUCCCGCUGGUUUCUCAAACACAACCUGAAAUUCUCUCAUCUUCAGUUCCAGUUUUCUAUUUUUCACUACAAAAAAUAAUAGGCAGUUUGAACGAAGCAAAGUUAACGGAAUUUCCGUUACAAAUACUUAUUAUCAAAGUUAAUGGAAUUUCCGUUAACUUUGUUAUUUCCGUUACAAAUACUAGAUAUCAAGAUGGACUUAUAUAUGGUAACGGAUUUUUAGACUAUUUUUAACGGAAUAUCCGUUACAAAUAACAAUUAUUUAAUAAUUUUUUAUUUUUCCUCCUAAAAAAUAAUUCCCCCAAAUCCAUUUCCCCAAAUCCUCCUAUUUCAUUUUCUAUUCCCUUCUAUUUCCCCAAAACCUCCUAUCCCCCCAAAAUCGUAAACCCCUGCUCCCCCCCUUCUCCCCUGUUCUCCCCCAAAUCCAUCUUUUCCGACCUCCGGACUCCGCGAAUCUCUUCUCCACUUCUUUCUACGUUGCUACUGGUUGGAAAUCUCUACUCAACUUCUACCUACGUUGCUGUCGAUCCUCCAAGGUUCGAUUGUUUUAUUCUGAAAUCCUCAGAGCUUAUUAUUAUUAAAAACUUAAAGUCUACCUAUUCUUGAUCCUACUUUUCCAACAAAUGUAUCGACGACGUCUUUUUUUUAUCUCUGAAUUUGGGGGAGGGGAACACUACAAGAAAACAGGGAAACAGCCACGGCCAAGUUCACUGGCUAAAUGGCAAAAUCCGUGGCUAAAUUGAUUUAGCCACGGGAAUUAGCCACGGGAGCUGCCGUGGCUGUAAGUCUGGUGGCUACUGUUUUUUGGCCACGGAAAUGGUUUUCCGUGGCUAAAUAUUAGCCACGGCCAUUUAUUUUAGCCACGGCCAAAAUCCGUGGCUAAUGUUAAAAAAUUAGCCACGGUAUAAUUCAGUGGCUAAUUUAAUUUUGCAGCCACGGAUUUUGGUCGUGGCUAAUCCUUAACUGGCCGUGGCUAAAUCCUUGAAACAGAGUGGAAAGUGAAGGGCCACGGCCAAAAUCCGUGGCUAAUCCUUAACUGGCCGUGGCUAAAUCCUUGAAACAGAGUUGAAAGUGAAGGGCCACGGCCAAAAUCCGUGGCUAAAUGUCAAAAGGCCGUGGCUAAUUUCUAAAAUAAUUAUAGGAAAUAUUUACAUUUUAGAAGACGUCUAUUGAAGGUCUUACACAUUCAUAUAACCUGAAAAAAUCAAUGAAACAUAUAUUUACAUUCAUAUUCCAUUCAUACACAAAUAUCCCUCAAAAUUAUCCAAAACAUUCAUUACAUUAUAUUCCAUACCUAUAACCAAACAUACCAUUCCAAAACAUUCAAUAACCAAUAAAACAUAUCAUUCCAUUCCAAAACGUACCAUUCAAUUAAUAAGCAACAAAACAUACCAUUCAUACAAUUCAUGUUAUUCAAAACUAAACCAAAAGAUAAAAGAAGAGGAACAUAUUUGUUGGUGUUUGUCACGCUAUUCGUCGCACUUUUACUCGGACUUUUACUCGGAAUUUUACUUGGACUCUUGCCAAUAUUUUCGACAUUUGAAUCUCUUGUAAUAGGCGUGAUUAUGGUGUUAUGUCCUUGGCUCGACUGACCCUAAUGUAAAAAAAAAUUGAAAUUACAAAGAAAAUAUGAAUAUUGAUUUAUAUAUAAAUGCUAAUUACCUCAAUCGUCUCUCGACGUAAGUCUUCCCUUAGUUCCUUUAGUAUAUCCGGCAUCUGUUUUCUAAUGGCCUCUUGAACUGCCCGAUCAAAGUCUUCUUUACUUUUUUAUUGUUGAAUUUCUAUAUAAUUCGUCGUUGUGUUCUGUGAAGUCGCCAUAUUAUCUGUCGUUGUUCGUAAACAUUUAUUAAUAAGAAUUAAACUAGGUAGGUUAUAAUUUCUUGUUUGGAUCGAGCUCAUCAUAUAUAUAUAAGGACGCGUUUUUGGUGCGGUUCGUCCGCACCAAGAAUUCGCUGCGAACUCACCGUUCCGGACGUUCACACGCCGUCCGUCCCCUACACACGCGAUGGGUUCCGGUUCCGGUUCUAGUCUCGCGAUUUCGAGAUUCCAGUUCCAGGAACUGACACGGUUCCAGAUCAAAACUAGCUACGUCGGACAUUCGUCAGAUUUGAAAUCCGACGAAUCUAUGGGUCAUCCGCAGCACUGUACCUAAAAUGAUUCAUUUCCCAUGCGGUUCAUCCCCAAUACGAAUGACUGCGGACGAACUAUGAUGGGUUCCUUAUGCCGAUCUGGAACCCAUCGUGGUUCCCAUGGCCGAACACGAUCGGAAACCCAUCAUGAUUCCCGAUUGUGUCCGUCCAUCGGUUCCGCAGGAGGCAUGAAACACGAUGGGUUCCUCGCUGCCAUGCAUUUCCGUUUGCAAUGAGGUGCGUCGGUCUGGAAAAUGCAGUUCAUCCGACCUCGUCUGAAGCUGAGUGUAUAUAUAUAUUUCAUCCAGAUAUUAAUUAUUUGAAGUUGACAUUUACUAAUAAUUUGGUAAAUAUUUAAAAUUGAGUCGAUCUACAAUUAGUUGUGGUGGUAAAAAAAACAGAGAGAAAGAGAGGUAGACACGUAGGUAGCUAGAAAAAGUUGCAAUUAGAAACAAUAGCAUAAUUUGGCUGCAUGCAUGUAUGCAGUUUGGUUACAUUACGUACAUGAAGAGAGGUUAUUUUUAAGUUGUAAACAAGGUGGCGGGAAAACAUUCCGUGAACAUCCAGCUACAUACUGACAGUGCCAGUUGGCAUACUGAGGAGCUAUUCCUUUGAAGCUAAUAUUUGUGAGGCGCACGCCUUUAAUACCAGUUCCCUGGAGGCCGCGGAGUAGCGGUGCUCUUUUUAUAUCCACUCCAACUACAUUACUUAUAACAAUUACAUUAAUGACGGGGACAGCCUUUCGAUCCCAGUUAUCAUCUGGGUGAUCAUCGGAGCCUCUGCUAAAUCUGAUCGGAAUCUUAACUCUCUCCAUGACGACGUGAGUGAUGGUGAUGUUGGCGAUGUAGCCUCCUCUCCCUCUGUCGGUCUUUACCCGUAUCCCUGCAGCCGAAUCCCAAACAUGCAAGUCUUCGACGAUGACAUCAUGUAUACCACCAGACAUCUCGCUUCCUAUUCCCACACCGGAGCACGUAGGCGUAGUUCCAGAGAGCCUUCUGAUGAUGAUAUCGGAGCUGGGGCGACCCAUUUUCGUGCCAUAUUGGUCCCAUCCACUCUUGAUUGCAACCAGAUCGUCUCCACUUUCCACAUAACAGUCCUCUAUACAAACUCGGGAGCUGGAAUCUGAAUGAACGAACCAUAGAUCGAUAUCUCAUACAACAAUUUCAGGCAAAAUUAAUUAUUAGGAAAACAAAUAUUAAUUACUGGCAUGGCCUGGAUAAUUAUAUAUAUUAAUUUCAUUUCAUUUCACAGGUAAUUAUUAAUUUGAGGAUCGAAUUUAUAAUGAGGAAAAGCAAGCUAGCAAGCAAGCGUCAGAUAUUAAUUAACCAAUUAAUAAUUAUAUAUAUAAUUAACCAAACCAAGAUAUAUUUAAUUAAAUUAAAGUUUUAUUUAUUUAUUUAAUAAAAGCAAUUGGC
rnacentral:lncRNA from 1 species